GAUGAACGCUGGCGGCGUGCCUAAUACAUGCAAGUCGAGCGAACAGACGAGGAGCUUGCUCCUCUGACGUUAGCGGCGGACGGGUGAGUAACACGUGGAUAACCUACCUAUAAGACUGGGAUAACUUCGGGAAACCGGAGCUAAUACCGGAUAAUAUAUUGAACCGCAUGGUUCAAUAGUGAAAGACGGUUUUGCUGUCACUUAUAGAUGGAUCCGCGCCGCAUUAGCUAGUUGGUAAGGUAACGGCUUACCAAGGCAACGAUGCGUAGCCGACCUGAGAGGGUGAUCGGCCACCCUGGAACUGAGACACGGUCCAGACUCCUCCGGGAGGCAGCAGUAGGGAAUCUUCCGCAAUGGGCGAAAGCCUGACGGAGCACCGCGGCGUGAGUGAUGAAGGUCUUCGGAUCGUAAACCCCUGUUAUUAGGGAAGAACAAAUGUGUAAGUAACUAUGCACGUCUUGACGGUACCUAAUCAGAAAGCCACGGCUAACUACGUG
rnacentral:rRNA from 1 species